rnacentral:rRNA from 1 species
AUUGAACGCUGGCGGCAGGCCUAACACAUGCAAGUCGAGCGGCUGCAGGGAGCUUGCUCCUGGAUUCAGCGGCGGACGGGUGAGUAAUGCCUAGGAAUCUGCCUGGUAGUGGGGGAUAACGUCCGGACAUGGGCGCUAAUACCGCAUACGUCCUGAGGGCGAACGUGGGGGAUCUUCGGAUCUCACGCUAUCAGAUGAGCCGAGGUCGGAUUAGCUAGUUGGUGGGGUAAAGGCCUACCAAGGCGACGAUCCGUAACUGGUCUGAGAGGAUGAUCAGUCAAAUGGGAACUGAGAGAGGGUGCAGAAGUGUAGGGGCGGCAGAAGGGGGGAAUAUGGGAAAAGGGGAGCAAGCUUGACUAAGCAAGAGGGGGUGGGUGAAGAAGGCCUGCGGGUGGUAAAGCAUUUUUGUUGGAAAGAAAAGCAGCAGGUUAAUACCACGCUGUUCUGACGGUACCCAAAGAAUAAGCACCGGAUAGAUUCGUG